rnacentral:rRNA from 1 species
CCUACGGGGGGCAGCAGUGGGGAAUAUUGGGCAAUGGGCGCAAGCCUGACCCAGCAACGCCGCGUGAAGGAAGAAGGCUUUCGGGUUGUAAACUUCUUUUGUCAGGGACGAAGCAAGUGACGGUACCUGACGAAUAAGCCACGACUAACUACGUGCCAGCAGCCGCGGUAAUACGUAGGUGGCAAGCGUUAUCCGGAUUUACUGGGUGUAAAGGGCGCGUAGGCGGAUUUUUAAGUCAGCGGUAAAAUGUCCGGGCUCAACCCGGGCCGGCCGUUGAAACUGGGGAUCUUGAGUGGGCGAGAAGUAUGCGGAAUGCGUGGUGUAGCGGUGAAAUGCAUAGAUAUUAGGAGGAACACCAGUGGCGAAGGCGGCUUACUGGACUGUAAAUGACGCUGAGGCUCGAAAGCGUGGGGAGCAAACAGGAUUAGAUACCCGAGUAGUC